rnacentral:snoRNA from 1 species
AGUUCAUCUUAAAGAGGGUUUGGGAGGCUGUGAAACUCUUAAGAACUCUUAAUACUACGACCAAAAACUGAAGUUUUCCACAAGAUGCCACAGUCAUUCAAUUACGUUGUUUUCCAGAGCAGAAAGAAAA